CAGGUCUCCACAGGACUGGCUGCAUCCUUACAAUGUUUAUAGGAACCGUGCAUUGGACAAAUACAGAAGAUACAAAUACACUGAUCGAGAUGCUAGGGGUGCGAAUAGAUAAUUGUCUUUUAGGGGAUCAUUUUUCCCCCCAGGGAGAAAAGAAAAUGUUGCAUCGUGUAGCAUUGGCUGUCCUAGAACUAACUCUGUAGACCAGGAUGGCCUUGAACUCACACAGAUCUACCCGAAGUUGGGAUUAAAGGUUAGCCACACUGGGAGACAUGACCCCAAUCAACAAAGACACAGUCACCACCUGAAUCUGAAUAAAAACCACGUUCACUUCCUGUGUGCAUUUACUUUUCUGGGCACAUCGUCUGCCUUGUUGGA